AGAAGGAAUAAAAUGAAGAAGAAAAACGAAGAAGAAAUUAUGCUAAUUCUCUAAAAUUUCUCCCGCCUUCUCACCCCACGCUACUGAACACUAUAUUUUUCCCCAUUCUUCUUUCCCCCUCCUUCUUCAUGCUAACU
rnacentral:ribozyme from 13 species